rnacentral:rRNA from 1 species
AUUGAACGCUGGCGGCAUGCCUUACACAUGCAAGUCGGACGGUAACAGGUCUUCGGAUGCUGACGAGUGGCGAACGGGUGAGUAAUACAUCGGAACGUGCCUAGUAGUGGGGGAUAACCACUCGAAAGAGUGGCUAAUACCGCAUGAGAUCUACGGAUGAAAGCAGGGGAUCGCAAGACCUUGUGCUACUAGAGCGGCCGAUGGCAGAUUAGGUAGUUGGUGGGAUAAAAGCUUACCAAGCCGACGAUCUGUAGCUGGUCUGAGAGGACGAUCAGCCACACUGGGACUGAGACACGGCCCAGACUCCUACGGGAGGCAGCAGUGGGGAAUUUUGGACAAUGGGCGCAAGCCUGAUCCAGCAAUGCCGCGUGCAGGAUGAAGGCCUUCGGGUUGUAAACUGCUUUUGUACGGAACGAAAAGCCCUGGGUUAAUACCCUGGGGUCAUGACGGUACCGUAAGAAUAAGCACCGGCUAACUACGCGCCAGCCGCCGCCGUAAGAC